CCGGAACGGAGGUGGCAUCGUCACCUGUCAGGCUCAGGUGUUCCCUUGGCCUGGCUUCUCAGCCUCCUGUUAAGUUAUGGCAGGUGACCUCUGAGGUGGCCGGGCAUCCCCAGCCUCCCACGGCGGCAUUGAAGAAUUGUGUGAGUGUGAAGACUGCAGGGAAAUGGAGGCCACUUGAUGAAGAGCCUUGAGCCCACCCCUUAAAGGAACAAGGCGCGUUUCUCCCAAGGCCCUGACAGCUGGCUCCUCCAGCUCCAGCCCAGCGUAUUGAGAUGCAAAUGCGUGCCUGGCGGGAGCGCAGCUGCUGGCUGGCACUGAGGCCCUCACCCCAGGUGCAGCCCCUCCGAGCCAGCCGGGGCUGCCACGCGCAAGACCCUUCCAGGACAAAUGGAAUCGUGGCAGCACGCAGGGGGAGAGGCAGCCCUGUAUAAGGGGACAACAGAGGAUGAGAUGGUUGAUGGCAUCACCUGACUCGAUGGACAUGAGUUCGACGAAGCUUUAUGAGUUGGUGAUGGACAGGGAAGCCUGGCAUGCUGCAGUCCAUGGGGUCACAGAGAGUAAGACAUGACUGAGUAACUGAACUGAUAGCCUUGUAUACAUGGAAUUAUACAAUGUGUAUUCCUUUGUGUAUUCCAAUGUGUAUUAGCUCAGCAUGGUUUUGAGGUCCAAGUUCGUAGCAAUAAUUUGAUCUGUUUAUUGCUAAGAAUUAUUAGUUGUGUGUCGACCACACUGUGGGCUCACCCGCUUGCCUGCUGAUGGACCCCUGGGCUGCCCCCAGCUCUGCGGUUGUUAUGAAUGAGUCUUCUGAGGACCUGCUUACAGGGCUCUGUGUUCUCACACCCAGGAGAGGAACGGCUGGGCCAUGUGGUAGUGCAUAUUUAAUAAACUGUUUUUCAUGUGGUUGUACAUUUUUUAUAUUCUGACCAGUAGUGUGUGUUUCCUCUUCCUCUAUUUUAUUAAAGUUUGUGUAGGAUGAUAUUUUUUUCAUUAAAUGUUGGAUAGAUAUACUAAUCAGGCCAUCUUGGUCUGAAGUUUUGUGAGAAGAUUUUAAAUUAAGAAUUCCAUUUUUUAAAUUGUUAUGGAACUGUUAGUGUUUUCUCUUUCUUUGUGAGUCAGUUUUAGUAACGUGUACUUUCAUGGAAUUCUUUUUCACUUCACCUGGGAUAUAAAGU